AUUGAACGCUGGCGGCAGGCCUAACACAUGCAAGUCGAGCGGAUGAAGGGAGCUUGUUCCUGGAUUCAGCGGCGGACGGGCGAGUAAUGCCUAGGAAUCUGCCUGGCAGUGGGGGAUAAGGUCCGGAAACGGGCGCUAAUACCGCAUACGUCCUGAGGGUGAAAGUGGGGGAUCUUCGGACCUCACGCUAUCAGAUGAGCCUAGGUCGGAUUAGCUAGUUGGUGGGGUAAAGGCCUACCAAGGCGACGAUCCGUAACUGGUCUGAGAGGAUGAUCAGUCACACUGGAACUGAGACACGGUCCAGACUCCUACGGGAGGCAGCAGUGGGGAAUAUUGGACAAUGGGCGAAAGCCUGAUCCAGCCAUGCCGCGUGUGUGAAGAAGGUCUUCGGAUUGUAAAGCACUUUAAGUUGGGAGGAAGGGCAGUAAGUGAAUACCUUGCUGUUUUGACGUUACCAACAGAAUAAGCACCGGCUAACUACGUG
rnacentral:rRNA from 1 species